rnacentral:lncRNA from 1 species
AUGGCCAAGAAAAAGGCUGAAAGGGAUGCUGAAGGGAGAUUAAAGCCAAGGUGAAGGAAGAACCACAGAGGAAUCACAAAGCUGUCUGCUAAACCUGCUCCUCCAAAGCCAGAGCCCAAGCCUAAAAAGGCUCUUGCAAAGAACGGAGAGGAGCCACCUAAAGGGAAAAAGGGAAAAGCUGACACUGGCAAGAAGGGAGAUAACCCUGCAGAACAUGGAGAUGCUAACGCAGACCAGGCACGGAAAGCUGAAGGUGCUGGAGAUGCCACAUGA